UACUUUGCCGGCGAGCGGCGGACGGGUGAGUAAUGUCUGGGAAACUGCCUGAUGGAGGGGGAUAACUACUGGAAACGGUAGCUAAUACCGCAUGACCUCGUAAGAGCAAAGUGGGGGACCUUCGGGCCUCACGCCAUCGGAUGUGCCCAGAUGGGAUUAGCUAGUAGGUGAGGUAAUGGCUCACCUAGGCGACGAUCCCUAGCUGGUCUGAGAGGAUGACCAGCCACACUGGAACUGAGACACGGUCCAGACUCCCACGGGAGGCAGCAGUGGGGAAUAUUGCACAAUGGGCGCAAGCCUGAUGCAGCCAUGCCGCGUGUGUGAAGAAGGCCUUAGGGUUGUAAAGCACUUUCAGCGAGGAGGAAGGGUUCAGUGUUAAUAGCACUGUGCAUUGACGUUACUCGCAGAAGAAGCACCGGCUAACUCCGUGCCAGCAGCCGCGGUAAUACGGAGGGUGCAAGCGUUAAUCGGAAUUACUGGGCGUAAAGCGCACGCAGGCGGUUUGUUAAGUCAGAUGUGAAAUCCCCGAGCUUAACUUGGGAACUGCAUUUGAAACUGGCAAGCUAGAGUCUUGUAGAGGGGGGUAGAAUUCCAGGUGUAGCGGUGAAAUGCGUAGAGAUCUGGAGGAAUACCGGUGGCGAAGGCGGCCC
rnacentral:rRNA from 1 species